rnacentral:rRNA from 1 species
GUCUGUGGCCACACUGCCCUGAACAAGCCCGAUGCCGCCUGAUCUCGGAAGCUAAGCAGGGUCGGGCCUGGUCAGUACUUGGAUGAGAGACCACCCAGGAAGACCACGGGCUGUAGGUG